rnacentral:rRNA from 1 species
AAGUCCUAUCUGAAUAUUCUAAAGGCACCAGAUCCUAUUUGAUCAUGGAAGCUAAGUAGAUUCAACUUUGGUUAGUACUUGGAAAGGAGACUGCCAAAGAAUACCAGGUGCUGUAUUCA